CCUCCAAGCGCCGCCAUCCUAUUCCCCAAACAUUAAAAAUUCUCUCAACUAAUCCUGAGUUAAUCUUAUUUAUUUUUCAAACAAGAUAAGUUCUAAAACUCUUCAAUUUGGUGGUAGUUUUGAUAUCAUGGGUAUGAUUACGUGGUGUUAUUUCUACUCUUAUUUUAUCCAUAGCCCUUUUGUACUGCAUCUUGCGCAUAAAAAUUCUUAUGCAUCAUUAGUAGUUGUCGUUGUGCUCGUGUUGUUAGUUGUUGAAUUGAUUAGUUAUUGCUUCAUUAAGUUGCCUUAGGGGAUAUCGACGGGGCUUUACUAAUUUGAGGGUAUGUAGUUCAAGUUAAAGUGUGGGGUGGGGCGAGUUCUUUGUACUUUCUAUAUAUACAAUUGGGCUUCGAUUCAUGAAUGUUGUUUUAGUCUAAAUACAUAGAUAGAGGAUGUAUCUACCAAAACAAAGGUUACUUGCUCUUUUUGUGCUUGAUUAUGUUAAUUAUUACAUGCAACAUCGAGAUUGAUGUCGUAUCGCAAAGGGAAGUCUGAGUACCUACUGUGAUAAUUCUGAAAUGCUACGCACAUAAUCGAGCUUGCACUAUCUUGUUCACCUUACUAAUUAGUAACUGAAUUACAUAAUGGUAUGUUCAAAGUGGAUUGAUCUUAACCGAAUUGUUGAACUAGACAUUCUUUGACCAUAUACUAUGUGGCCUAUGAUUGAGUAAUUGGUUAGCAUAGAUUAGUUGUUGUUAAGUUAGUUGACGCCCUUUUAACUGUGACAUUUUCUGUUAUGCACUUUCUACUAUCGUUAGAAUUAAGUAUGGAACUAUUGAAAUACAGUCUAGGUACACUUGCACAAUGUAGUAAAAUUGGAGUACUCUUAUUAACCUAUCCUGUAAUAUGAGUAGCAUCGAUAACAACAAAGUGUUAGGUGGCGUUUUCACUAGUCCAAAUGUAGUGAAGUUAGCAUGCUCUAAGCCAUAUUGAAAUGUCUUUGUUGCCUAUUUUAAAUCUCAGGAAUUAUGAAUCGAAGGAAACUAGGACUAAAUGGAAAAUCAAGGACUUCAAAGUCAGCGAGGAAAUGCAGCAGACCAGCUGCGAGGCAAAUUAAUAGAGUGCCCCAUGCUCCUCCAGUCCUACAUGGUCAAACACGUAGAUUUGGGUUUAAGGAAGUUAGGCAAGACGGAAAGCAAUGGCACUCCAAACACCUCGACACCAAAUACAUACCUAAGAUGUUUAUUGAUAGUGUAAGUCUAUAGAGAAAAUGACCAAGUAUGGUAAGUCAUCUGGAGCAGCUGAACAUAGUUUUCAUUUUCCACUAGCUGCGUGAAUGCAAUUUGCAUCUUGUGCAUGAGUUUUAUGCAAAUUAGGACCCAAGGGAUGUACAUCAUGAGGUGAAAGUUCAUGGUAAAAUCGUCAUAUUUACUUUAGAGGACAUCAAUGACUUGUUGGGAAUACCUGAGGCAGAUGUACAUUAGUUAAAAUAGUUGAUUAUCACUCUGAAUUAUGCUUACAAUCUACAUCUGUUGUGUGGUACUCAUUCAUUAGCCCGAUAGACUAGACAAAAGGGCACAGGUCUUCAUUCCUCAUUACCAUAUGCAUAGAUGAACAAGGAAGCUCGCAUAUGGGGAUGAAUUAUGCACUAUUUCCUAAUUCAAGGCAAGCAUAUGACUGAGGUUACACAUAAACGGGUAUGUUUGACUUACGCUUCAUAGUGUAAUGAUGUUGCAAUGAAUGUAAUCCAUGUCAUAUUUUCUGCCAUAAAAAAGGCACGCUUCAUUGAGAGAUACUGAUAUGGAUUUGGAGGCUUAUUGACUAAGUUCAUAAGGUGGCACUAGGUAGAGAAGAAGGAAUUAGAUUAUAAGGCUAUAAUAGAUAACCACCCUAUUGAUUUUACUAGAGCCAAGAGCACAGCUGGGCCCUUAGGACCAAUUCUUACUAUGGCCGAGUGUCAAAAUUAGACUGAUGAAAUCAUGUCUAGAACAUACAAUUUUUAGAUGUUGUACAUGAGGCUUGGGGGAAGAGCAACCACAGAUGAAGAGAUUCAUGUUGUUGACUUGGAUUACCCGCUCGGUCAUCACGCCAAGACAUUGCUGAGGAUUGGACCAGAGUUUAUGGAACCGACAGAUAAUGAUAUACCUACCAAUGAAGACAGACAGUGGCAUGACUUAAAUAUUGAGUCUAAUAUUGAUGAUUAGUCUGAGGAUGUUGAUGGACAGGAUGAUAUUGAUGCAUCUAAUAAUGGUGAUGCAACACAAGUUGACAUGGCUGAUGCCUAGGUUUGCACAUACAAAGAUAGUGCUCUUCCUACGUGUGGGGUGGUCUUGCACCCUCUUCCCUUUUCCUUUUGUCUCUUGAUGUGUGAGAAAAAUCUAACAUAUUUAAUGCUUUUUAGCUCAAAAUAAUUGUGAAUUCUGAAGCAACUCUUGUCGUUUUGAUGUGUUUUCUCAUGAUAUUGCAGUAAAAGGCUGAAGGAAUGGAAAUAAACGAUAAUGGAGAAAAAAAGUUGAAAAUCUGAGCAAAAGAGAAGAAAACAUGACUGACGACAUCCGUGAUAAGUCGUCAGCCUUGUGAUAGACUAUCAGAAGCGGCGUCAGCCUUAACUAGGGACUUGAGUCUGAGAGAAAGUUCUGACAACAUUGGUAAUAAGGCGUCAAGAUAGUGAUAAGGCAUUACAAAUGUCGUCAGCCUUAGCCAGAGAAUCAGAGCUCAAAGAAGAAAUCUGGCGACGCUGGUGAUAUGCCGUCAGAUCAAUGACACGACAUCAGCUACAUCGUUAGCCUAAGAUAGAUUUUGAAGACAGCUGGAGCAACCCUGAUGCCAUCCAUGAUAAGGCAUCAGAUCCUUGACAUGGUGUCAUCUAGUGCGUCACCUAAUCCGAAGAACUUAUGAUUUUUGUUAUUUUAUUUCCAUAAUUAGACUUAAGUAUAAAUAACAUCUUUUAGGGUUUAUUGAGGAGUUCGGUUCUUUUUAGAGAGCAGAUUAUUUUUUAUCCUAAGACUUAGAGAAAAAAACAUUAUUCUUCAUUGUUUCUUUUCCUCAACACUUAUCAAUUAUUGUAGAUUUCUCUUUCGUGAUUGAAUUGAAGAAACAACUUGUUGCUUUUCAUCUGUUCGUAAG
rnacentral:lncRNA from 1 species